rnacentral:rRNA from 1 species
UACGUAGGGAGCAAGCGUUGUCCGGAAUCAUUGGGCGUAAAGCGCGCGUAGGCGGCCCGAUAAGUCCGCUGUAAAAGUCAACGGCUCAACUGUUGAAAGCCGGUGGAUACUGUCGAGCUCGAGUCCGGAAGAGGCGAGUGGAAUUCCGUGUGUAGCGGUGAAAUGCGCAGAUAUCGAGGAGACACGAGUCGGAAGGCAGCUCGCUGGGACGUUGACUGACGCUGAGACGCGAAAGCGUGGGGAGCAAACAGG